rnacentral:rRNA from 1 species
GAUGAACGCUGGCGGCGUGCCUAAUACAUGCAAGUCGAGCGAACAGACGAGGAGCUUGCUCCUCUGACGUUAGCAGCGGACGGGUGAGUAACACGUGGAUAACCUACCUAUAAGACUGGGAUAACUUCGGGAAACCGGAGCUAAUACCGGAUAAUAUAUUGAACCGCAUGGUUCAAUAGUGAAAGACGGUUUUGCUGUCACUUAUAGAUGGAUCCGCGCCGCAUUAGCUAGUUGGUAAGGUAACGGCUUACCAAGGCAACGAUGCGUAGCCGACCUGAGAGGGUGAUCGGCCACACUGGAACUGAGACACGGUCCAGACUCCUACGGGAGGCAGCAGUAGGGAAUCUUCCGCAAUGGGCGAAAGCCUGACGGAGCAACGCCGCGUGAGUGAUGAAGGUCUUCGGAUCGUAAAACUCUGUUAUUAGGGAAGAACAAAUGUGUAAGUAACUAUGCACGUCUUGACGGUACCUAAUCAGAAAGCCACGGCUAACUACGU